GGCCCCAUCGUCUAGCGGUUGAGGACAUCACUCUUUCAAGGUGAAGACACGGGUUCGACUCCCGUUGGGGCCG
rnacentral:tRNA from 1 species